UCGUCGGGUCGAGCGUGUCCGGAAUUAUGGGGGUAAGGGCUCGUAGCCGGUUUUCGCGUCGGGAUGGAAAACCAUGAGCUUAAAUCAUGGCUUGCUUUCGAUACGGGCAGACUGGAGGUAUGCAGGGGAGAACGGAAUUCCUGGUGUAGCGGUGAAAUGCGCAGAUAUCAGGAGGAACACCGGUGGCGAAGGCGGUUCUCUGGGCAUUACCUGACGCUGAGGAGCGAAAGUGUGGGGAGCGAACAGGAUUAGAUACCCUGGUAGUCCACACCGUAAACGUUGGGCGCUAGGUGUGGGGCCUAUUCCAUGGGUUCCGUGCCGCAGCUAACGCAUUAAGCGCCCCGCCUGGGGAGUACGGCCGCAAAGCUAAAACUCAAAGGAAUUGACGGGGGCCCGCACAAGCGGCGGAGCAUGCGGAUUAAUUCGAUGCAACGCGAAGAACCUUACCUGGGUUUGACAUACGCCGGAAAGCCUCAGAGAUGAGGCCCCUUUAUUGUCGGUGUACAGGUGGUGCAUGGCUGUCGUCAGCUCGUGUCGUGAGAUGUUGGGUUAAGUCCCGCAACGAGCGCAACCCUCGUCCUAUGUUGCCAGCACGUCCUUCGGGAUGGUGGGGACUCAUAGGAGACUGCCGGGGUCAACUCGGAGGAAGGUGGGGAUGACGUCAAGUCAUCAUGCCCCUUAUGUCCAGGGCUUCACGCAUGCUACAAUGGCCGGUACAAAGGGCUGCGAUCCCGUGAGGGGGAGCGAAUCCCAAAAAGCCGGUCUCAGUUCGGAUUGGGGUCUGCAACUCGACCCCAUGAAGUCGGAGUCGCUAGUAAUCGCAGAUCAGCAACGCUGCGGUGAAUACGUUCCCGGGCCUUGUACACACCGCCCGUCACGUCAUGAAAGUCGGCAACACCCGAAGCCCAUGGCCCAACCCGUAAGGGGGGGAGUGGUCGAAGGUGGGGCUGGCGAUUAGGACGAAGUCGUAACAAGGUAACCAAGGGCAG
rnacentral:rRNA from 1 species